UAGCCUACGGGCGGCAGCAGUGGGGAAUAUUGCACAAUGGGCGAAAGCCUGAUGCAGCAACGCCGCGUGAGCGAAGAAGGCCUUUGGGUCGUAAAGCUCUGUCGGAAGGGAAGAAAGAAAUGACGGUACCUUCUGAGGAAGCCCCGGCUAACUACGUGCCAGCAGCCGCGGUAAUACGUAGGGGGCAAGCGUUAUCCGGAAUUAUUGGGCGUAAAGAGUGCGUAGGUGGUCUUGUAAGCGUGGGGUGAAAGGCAGUGGCUUAACCAUUGUAAGCCCUGCGAACUGUGAGACUUGAGUGCAGGAGAGGAAAGCGGAAUUCCUAGUGUAGCGGUGAAAUGCGUAGAUAUUAGGAGGAACACCAGUGGCGAAGGCGGCUUUCUGGACUGUAACUGACACUGAGGCACGAAAGCGUGGGGAGCAAACAGGAUUAGAUACCCCUGUAGUCUAU
rnacentral:rRNA from 1 species